rnacentral:rRNA from 1 species
CACAGUAAGCUCUACAGCGAAAGCGUUAAGUAAUCCACCUGGGGAGUACGCCGGCAACGGUGAAACUCAAAGGAAUUGACGGGGGCCGCACAAGCGGAGGAACAUGUGGUUUAAUUCGAUGAUACGCGAGGAACCUUACCCGGGUUUGAACGCAUUUGGACAGUCCUUGAAAGAGGAUCUCUAGUAAUAGCCAUUUGCGAGGUGCUGCAUGGUUGUCGUCAGCUCGUGCCGUGAGGUGUCGGCUUAAGUGCCAUAACGAGCGCAACCCUUAUCUUUAGUUACUAACAGGUCAAGCUGAGGACUCUAAAGAGACUGCCAGCGUAAGCUGUGAGGAAGGUGGGGAUGACGUCAAAUCAGCACGGCCCUUACAUCCGGGGCGACACACGUGUUACAAUGGUGGGGACAAAGGGCAGCUACACAGCGAUGUGAUGCAAAUCUCCAAACCCCAUCUCAGUUCGGAUCGAAGUCUGCAACCCGACUUCGUGAAGCUGGAUUCGCUA